rnacentral:rRNA from 1 species
ACUCAAAUGAAUUGACGGGGGCUCACACAAGCGGUGGAGGAUGUGGUUUAAUUCGAAGCAACGCGAAGAACCUUACCAGGUCUUGACAUACCGGAAUUAGUCAUGUGAAAGCAUGGUGAUUGCCCGCAAGGGUGUAACCGGAACAGGUGCUGCAUGGCUGUCGUCAGCUCGUGCCGUGAGGUGUCAGGUUAAGUCCUUUAACGAGCGAAACCCCUACGAUUAGUUACCAACGGAAUCAUGCCGGGGACUCUAGUCGGACUGCCGCGAAAGCUGGAGGAAGGUGGGGACGACGUCAAGUCAUCAUGGCCCUUAUGACCUGGGCCACACACGUCCUACAAUGGGUGGUACAACGGGUAGCGAGGCCGCAAGGCCAAGCCAAUCUCUGAAAGCCACCCUCAGUUCGGAUCGUGGGCUGCAAUUCGCCCACGUGAAGCUGGAAUCGCUAGUAAUCGCGGAUCAGCCACGCCGCGGUGAAUUUGUUCCUGAGCCUUGCACACACCGCCCGU